rnacentral:rRNA from 1 species
GGGUUGUGAGGUUAAGCGACUAAGCGUACACGGUGGAUGCCUAGGCAAUCAGAGGCGAUGAAGGACGUGCUAAUCUGCGAUAAGCGUCGGUAAGGUGAUAUGAACCGUUAUAACCGACGAUUUCCGAAUGGGGAAACCCAGUGCAAUUCGUUGCACUAUCGUUUGAUGAAUACAUAGUCAAACGAAGCGAACCGAGGGAACUGAAACAUCUCAGUACCUCGAGGAAAAGAAAUCAACCGAGAUUCCCCUAGUAGCGGCGAGCGAACGGGGAGCAGCCCAGAGUCUUAAUCAGCAUUAGCAUCAGGAGAACGGUCUGGAAAGGCCGGCAGUAAAGGGUGAUAGCCCCGUAUCCGAAGGUGUUAGUGUUGUGAACUCGACGAGUAGGGCGGGACACGUGUUAUCCUGUCUGAAUAUGGGGGGACCAUCCUCCAAGGCUAAAUACUCCUGAUUGACCGAUAGUGAACCAGUACCGUGAGGGAAAGGCGAAAAGAACCCCGGCGAGGGGAGUGAAAUAGAACCUGAAACCGUGUACGUACAAGCAGUGGGAGCACCUUUAUGGUGUGACUGCGUACCUUUUGUAUAAUGGGUCAGCGACUUAUAUUCUGUAGCAAGGUUAACCGUAUAGGGGAGCCGUAGGGAAACCGAGUCUUAACUGGGCGAAUGAGUUGCAGGGUAUAGACCCGAAACCCGGUGAUCUAGCCAUGGGCAGGUUGAAGGUUGGGUAACACUAACUGGAGGACCGAACCGACUAAUGUUGAAAAAUUAGCGGAUGACUUGUGGCUGGGGGUGAAAGGCCAAUCAAACCGGGAGAUAGCUGGUUCUCCCCGAAAGCUAUUUAGGUAGCGCCUCGUGAACUCAUCUUCGGGGGUAGAGCACUGUUUCGACUAGGGGGUCAUCCCGACUUACCAACUCGAUGCAAACUACGAAUACCGAAGAAUGUUAUCACGGGAGACACACGGCGGGUGCUAACGUUCGUCGUGAAGAGGGAAACAACCCAGACCGCCAGCUAAGGUCCCAAAGUCAUAGUUAAGUGGGAAACGAAGUGGGAAGGCUCAGACAGCCAGGAUGUUGGCUUAGAAGCAGCCAUCAUUUAAAGAAAGCGUAAUAGCUCACUGGUCGAGUCGGCCUGCGCGGAAGAUGUAACGGGGCUAAACUAUGCACCGAAGCUGCGGCAGCGAUAUGUAAAUAUUGUUGGGUAGGGGAGCGUUCUGUAAGCCUGUGAAGGUGUACUGUGAGGUAUGCUGGAGGUAUCAGAAGUGCGAAUGCUGACAUAAGUAACGAUAAUGCGGGUGAAAAACCCGCACGCCGGAAGACCAAGGGUUCCUGUCCAACGUUAAUCGGGGCAGGGUGAGUCGACCCCUAAGGCGAGGCAGAAAUGCGUAGUCGAUGGGAAACGGGUUAAUAUUCCCGUACUGGUGAUAAUUGCGAUGGGGGGACGGAGAAGGUUAGGCUGGCCGGGCGACGGUUGUCCCGGUUUAAGGAUGUAGGCAGGUGAAUUAGGCAAAUCCGGUUCACUAUAUGCUGAGGUCUGAUGACGAGUCACUACGGUGGCGAAGUAGCUCAUACCCCGCUUCCAGGAAAAGCCUCUAAGCUCUAGAUUAUCAUUAAUCGUACCCCAAACCGACACAGGUGGUCAGGUAGAGAAUACUCAGGCGCUUGAGAGAACUCGGGUGAAGGAACUAGGCAAAAUGGUGCCGUAACUUCGGGAGAAGGCACGCUGGCAUUAGGUGAAGUG